GCGAGAGAUGGGUGUGAGUACACAGAUGAUGAUUUAAUAGAUCUGAAUGGAAAUAGAGGAUUGUGUGCCGACCAGACAAUGGGGUCAAUAUACUGCGUUCAUGUCGAUGUCUAGUUAAGCAACGCAAUUAUCAUGUUAACUUUUGGUGGAUUUUUCUGUUUGUCUACCUCAGACUAAAAACAAUGUUUGUAGAGAACUCUGCCAGGGAUUACAGGUGCAAAUAUAAUCUGUCACAAGGAGUAGAAGAACAAGAGUGUUUUUUUAAUAGUUACUUGAAAAUGUUGUCGCUUUUCAAAAGUCUGUACAUGGCAGUGGCAUAAAGAAGCGGAGACUUGCAAUAUUUGUAUUUUGUACCGAAUAAGAUUCACAACUAAAGAGGUAAUACUAAGUAUUCCUAAUAUCUGUUUGAAUAAAGCCAAUAAAGACGUUAUUUAUUAAAUAUAAUUAUUAUAUUUAAUAUAUAAUAUAUUAAAUAUAUCAUAACACUGUUAUUUAAAAUAAAAUAUUUGAUUAAAUGUUGGUUUCGUGUAA